AUGGCAGAGCAGCCGGGUUUCACCACCUGCAUCACACCCAACUGCAAAGGGCUGUAUUGCAGCGAGUGCUACAGAGUCCUGAACAAAACCUGCUCCGUCUGCAUGGCCCCCCUGAGCUCCCCGGACUCUGGGGAUGAGGAGAUGGAUUCCAGUGACGAGGAGACACCGGGGCUGUGGCUGCGGGGCCAGGAGCGAGGGCGGCGGCUGCUGCAGCGCAUCAGGGACAUGAUCGAGGGCCGAGGCUCCCCUUCAGAAUGGCUGCCCAGCUGUGAGUCCAGCUGGAGGAGGAGGAAAAGAGUGAGCAGAGCGAUGUGGGCAGCAGUGGGGUCAACAAGAGCAGAUUACUCUGCAGGUGAGGGCUGGCUGUGGGGUGGCAAUUCCCUUGUCCUCCCCAGCACUAGGGAUGCUGGAUGCCAACACUGCACUCCUCUCUCCCAGAAAGACUUCAACUAACAGCAGCAGACCAAGAACAGUGAAAGCGAGGGCCCGGUGACAGCAGGACGGUGCCAUGUGGCAGCAAAACCACGGGUCUGGGUGCUGGGAUGUGCUUGGAGCCCCACCAAGUGCAGCAGAAGCUGAGUGCCACUGGGUGGGGAAGGACUGGUGAAUAAAUCGCCUGGUCCUUAAGGCACCUGAGUCCUGGUACUCUGAGUUGGCAUCCAUCAUUCCAUGAUGGUCCUGACUUUGUGAUAGCCCAGCUCCUUGCUGCCCCAGCUCCAUCCCUGCUGUGACCCCAUCCUCUCAGUGUCCCCCAGCCCCAUCUCGAGCACCUCGGUGCCACCAUCUCCAUUCCCACUGUGCCUCCAGCCCCUACACACCUCUGUCCCCAGCCUUUAUGCUGUCCCCAGCCUUUAUGCUGUCCCCAUUCCCAUCCCUGUGGUGCCCCCAGCCCCAUGCUGACCCCCACCCCUCAAUGUCCCUCUCCCCACACUCAGUGACCGCUCCCCAUCCCUGCAGUGCCCUAGACUCUCAAUGUCCCCAUCCCCACAGUGUCCCCAGUCCCGAGCUGCUCCAGGGUGGGGAUGCAGAAUGGACAGACAGCCGGACGCGAGAGAAGUCCCUGCUUCUCCGUUUAUUACCAAGCAGCCUUCGUUUAAAAAAAAAAAAAAACAAAAACAAAAAAACAAACACAGACGUACAGACAGGCAGAGGCGGCCCGGCGGGGCGGGGGCCGCCCGCCCGUGGUUUGUUUGGUUCCUGACACCAGAGAGGUUCAAGUAGCCGAAAAGGUUCAAGUUCACCAUAAGGCACUUUAAAGCCAUGACGGGAGCAGAGCCCCCCCCGGCCCCAUCACCCCUCCCGGCACCCCAUGGCAGAUGUGGAUGCCGGGCAGCGCUGGUGGUUGGCAGCAGAGGGGCUGUGAGGGGGAAUAUAUUACAUCAUCUUUUUAAAUAUAGAUAAAACUCUUAUUGUAGACAAAUAGUGCCGGUCCCCUCCACCCCCGGGGA
rnacentral:lncRNA from 1 species